rnacentral:misc_RNA from 1 species
GAUGAAGAACGUAGCGAAAUGCGAUACUUGGUGUGAAUUGCAGAAUCCCGUGAACCAUCGAGUCUUUGAACGCAAGUUGUGCCUCAAGCCAUUAGGUUGAGGGCACGUCUGCCUGGGCGUCACAUAUCGUUGCCUGAUGCCAGUUUCCUCGUGAUGGGUGACUGUGCAGGGCGAAUGAUGGCUUCCCGUGAGCAUUGUUGCCUCAUGGUUGGUUGAAAAUUGAGUCCUUGGUAGGGAGCGCCGUGAUAGAUGGUGGUUGAGUGACGAACGAGACCCAAUCAUGUGAGACCCCUACCGAAUUUGGCCUUCAUGACCCACAUGCGUCUUUGGAACGCUCAUGACGAGACCUCAGGUCAGGCGGGGCUACCCGCUGAGUUUAAGCAUAUCAAUAAGCGGAGGA